ncrna:Danio rerio (zebrafish) microRNA dre-mir-222a precursor
CUCAUGAGAUGCUCAGUAGUCAGUGUAGAUCCUGUGUCACAAUCAGCAGCUACAUCUGGCUACUGGGUCUCUGAUGGCAUUU